AUUGAACGCUGGCGGCAGGCUUAACACAUGCAAGUCGAGCGGAGAUGAGGUGCUUGCACCUUAUCUUAGCGGCGGACGGGUGAGUAAUGCUUAGGAAUCUGCCUAUUAGUGGGGGACAACAUUCCGAAAGGAAUGCUAAUACCGCAUACGUCCUACGGGAGAAAAGCAGGGGAUCUUCGGACCUUGCGCUAAUAGAUGAGCCUAAGUCGGAUUAGCUAGUUGGUGGGGUAAAGGCCUACCAAGGCGACGAUCUGUAGCGGGUCUGAGAGGAUGAUCCGCCACACUGGGACUGAGACACGGCCCAGACUCCUACGGGAGGCAGCAGUGGGGAAUAUUGGACAAUGGGGGGAACCCUGAUCCAGCCAUGCCGCGUGUGUGAAGAAGGCCUUAUGGUUGUAAAGCACUUUAAGCGAGGAGGAGGCUACUGAGACUAAUACUCUUGGAUAGUGGACGUUACUCGCAGAAUAAGCACCGGCUAACUCUGUG
rnacentral:rRNA from 1 species